UAAUACGAGAGGUCCAAACGUUAUUCGGAAUUACUGGGCUUACAGAGUUCGUAGGCGGCUCUACAAGUGAGGUGUGAAAGCCCUCGGCUCAACCGAGGAACUGCGCUUCAAACUGUAGAACUAGAGGGAGAUAGAGGUGAGCAGAACUGAUGGUGGAGCGGUGAAAUGCGUUGAUAUCAUCAGGAAUACCGGAGGCGAAGGCGGCUCACUGGGUCUCUUCUGACGCUGAGGAACGAAAGCUAGGGGAGCAAACGGGAUUAGAUACCCCGGUAGUCCUAGCCGUAAACGAUGAGCACUGGGCCGGAGCUCUGCACAGGGUUUCGGCCGUAGCGAAAGUGUUAAGUGCUCCGCCUGGGGAGUAUGGUCGCAAGGCUG
rnacentral:rRNA from 1 species